rnacentral:lncRNA from 1 species
UACGACAACAACUAUUUGAUUGGUAAGUGACUAUCACUUUCUUCAUAUUAAUAGGAUUAGUUACUAAUGUUUAUUUACAAUAGUACAAUAAUAAAUUUAUUACUUUUUGAUGAAAAUAGUUUUAUUUUUCAAUAUCAAUUUUUUUUCAACCUUAAUUUCGCUCACUCAUAUAUUUUGAUCACUCAUUGAACUGGAUUCAAAUGGAUAAGUUUGAUUUUUGUAAGUGCGUUGUUUUAAACAUGUAUUUAUGGUAUUUAAUUGAUAUUUGUAUAAUAAUUGACAAUUUCGAAUUGGUAUCGCUUUAAAUGUACUCUUUUUGGAGGGUAUGUUGAAGGGUUGAACAAGUUUUUUUGUCUAAGUAAACAAUGUUACUUGCUAAAAUAAACAUUCAUGAAAUUAAUUGGGUCUAUUAUAGAAAACACACACACACACACACACACACAUAUAUAUAUAUAUAUAUAUAUAUAUAUAUAUAUAUAGAGAGAGAGAGAGAGAGAGAAUUGUAUAAUAUUUCAAUUCAAACCCCCAUCCCUGUUAUGUUACCUAACAUUUAAUAUAUUUGUUGUGGAUGGGUCAAAGACCUGGGCUUAAUUGCUUAGGCCCAAUUAACAAAACAAGCCCAAAUGCUGCAGUUGGCAAUUUACUUGCAUCCACCUUCUGAUCAGGUAGCAUCAAUGACACUGUUUGUGUGAAAAUAACAAGAUAUCCCCGUUUUUUACAUACAAACAACCAAAACUUUUUCAUACAAAACCAUGGCUAUCAACGGUGCUGCACCAUGUCUUCAAAGCCAAAUCCAACGUCCUCAACGCGACAGACAAUCAACUUCAC